rnacentral:tRNA from 1 species
GCGCCCGUAGCUCAGCUGGAGAGAGCGGCUGCCUUCUAAGCAGCAGGUCGAACGUUCGAGUCGUUCCGGGCGCACCA